rnacentral:lncRNA from 7 species
CCAGACCGUGGCACGGAGGGACCCCAGGCCGUGCCCUCCCCGCUGCAUGCGGGUGGAUUUGGGGUGGAUGGGGGUUGGGGAGGGGGGGGUCCUGGGGAGCGCUGCCCCCACCUCGGGGUGCUCCCGGCUGCUGCUGCACUCUCGAGGGACUUCACAGCCACAGUGGGGAGAAUGAGUCAGCCAGGAAGGUGAGCGCAGCGCCCGGCCCCUCGCCCCACGGGGCCCUGCGCCCUUUGGGAGCCGGGAAGGGACCCAGGCGUCCCCCCACCCACCCAUCCCCAAAGCCAACCCGGGUGUCACAUAGGGUCGGCACGGCUGUGGGAUGGGGGCUGAGCAGCCCCUCUGCCCAACAGCACCCGUUGGAGUGAGGCAGUGGGUGGCGGGUGGGCUCCGGCCGGGUUGGUGGCCCCAAUGUGUGCCCAAUGGGUGGGUGGGGGUCCUGGGGGUCCCGGUGCCGAAGGGGAGCCCGGAUGAGGGCUGGGGAAGCGGUCCCCACUCUUUGAAAGAAGAAAACAGCGAGCACACAAGAGAGGAAAUGGGUUGAAGAGAUGAGAGGGUAAACAGCACCCACCCGCCCCACAGCCAGGGGGGUGAGGCGCCCCAUAGCGGGACCCCAUCUCGUCGCGCGCCCACCCAGCUGCCCCCCAAACCUCGAGCUCCCCACGGCCGUGGGGCUGAGCCCUCAGCAGCGUGGGCCGUGCGGGCGCACAUCACGGCACGGCCCCAUCCUGGUGCUCAGCCCCACGCCGCGCAACGCAGCGCUCAAGGCCGCGUCCCCACCGCCGUCCCCACCACCUCCUGCAGCGGGGACCCGCCGCCCCUCACCCAGCAGGGCCCACCCACCACCCGUAGGGCCCCAUCCCAGCCACCCCGACCCCGACCUACCCCCAAAGCCAUCCCCGUGCCACGUGCCGGCAGAGGGGACGCCGCGGUGGCCGCGCGGUGCCACCCAUCCCACCCCUCCCAUCCCUCCGCGGGGUUCGCUCGACGCCGGCAUCCCACCGCCAGCCCCAAAGCCACCCGGAAACGGCGCCGUGGUCACCCCACAUCCCCCCCCAGCCCCACAUCCCCACCGCCCCCCCGGGUGGCAGCGGGGUGGGCGCACCGCUCACCUGGCGCCUGUGCCCGCGUGGCCGGGCGCUGCUCCGGCAGAGGCAGGGAAGGGUGCAGGGUGCUGCUGUGUGAACUUGGCCCCGCUCCCCGCUGCACUUCAGCUCGGAUCCCACCUCAAAAGGAGUCGACGCCCACACCCCGGGUCACGCACCUCCCAGCCCCGCUUCCCAGAACACACACAGCAUUAACCCUUCUGCAGCCGACGCCAACCCGGAACGGGGCGAGGGGGAACCCCGACCCCCCCCUUCCUCCCCCCCCCCCCCCCUUCCCAGCGCAGGAAAUUCCCAGGGGUGCCGGCACGGUUGGCACCGCACCGCAGCCAUCCCCUCCCCAUCGCCGCGGUGGCACCGUGCAGCUCCCGGCCCUCCCGCCGCCCCGGGGCUGGGCGAUGGGUGCCGGCUGCUCACUGCCGGCCACGGCCAGGAGCCGGGCUGCCACCGCAGGGCUGGGCUCGGUGCGGCGUGCCACGGCCUGUCCCCGGCCCCCUGCGCAUGCCCGUCCUGCUCUGCACCAUAGCCAGCCCCGACUGCGCCAGGCCCAUGGGUGCUGCUGUGCCACCAUAGCUGCUGUGCCACCAUAGCCCCAUUGCCAGACUAUCCAUGGGUGCUGCUGGUGCUGCUGUGCCACCAUAGCCAGACCCAUUGCCAGCCCAUCCAUGGGUGCUGCUGUGACCCUAUAGCCAGCCCCAAGGGUCCUGCUGUGACCCCAUAGGCAGCCCCAGUGCCAGGUCAUCCAUAGGUCCUGCUGUGACCCCAUAGCCAGCCCCAAGGGUCCUGCUGUGACCCCAUAGCCAGCCCCAGUGCCAGUCCAUCCAUGGGUGCUGCUGUGCCACCAUAGCCAGCCCCAUUGCCAGGUCAUCCAUGGGUCCUGCUGUGACCCUAUAGCCAGCCCCAAGGGUCCUGCUGUGACCCCAUAGCCAGCCCCAGUGCCAGCCCAUCCAUGGGUGCUGCUGUGCCACCAUAGCCAGCCCUACAGGUGCUGCUGUGCCCCUAUAGCCAGCCCCAGUGCCAGGCCAUCCAUGGGUACUGUUGUGCCCCUAUAGCCAGCCCCACAGGUGCUGCUGUGACCCCAUAGCUGGCCCCAAUACCAGCCCAUCCACGGGUCCUGCUGUGUCCCAAUAGCCAGCCCAUCCAUGGAUGCUGUUGUGCCCCCGUAGCCAGCCCUACAGGUGCUGCUGUGUCCCCAUAGCCAGGCCAUCUAUGGGUGCUGCUGUGACCCCAUAGCCAGCCCCAAUACCAGCCCAUCCACGGGUCCUGCUAUGACCCCGUAGCCAGCCCCACAGGUGCUGCUGUGCCCCCAUAGCCAGCCCCAAUGCCAGGCAAUCCAUGGGUCCUGCUGUGCCACUACAGUCACCUCCAAGAGUCCUACUGUGACCCCAUAGCCAGCCCCACUGCUAGGCCUAUAGGUCGUGCCGUGCCCCUUACAGCCAUCCCAUCCAUGGGACCUGCUGUGCCCCCAUAGCCAGCCCCACUGCUAGGCCCAAGGGUCCUGCUGCGCCCCCAUAGCCAGCCCCAAUGCCCAACCCGUGGGUCCUGCUGCGCCCUCAUAGCAGACCCCAAUACCAAGCCAUCCCCGGUUGCAGCUGUGCCCCUAUAUCUGACCCCAGUGCUGAGCCCACGGGUCCUAUCACACAGUAUAGUGGCAGACACGGCUGCUGCGGGGAGCCUGGCACCAAAACCAUGAGCACACCGUGACCCAGGGAGGGGGGCUCUCAGAUGGCCCCAGCCACCCCACGGCACCCAUCCUCCUCCAUUCCACACCCCAUGGGCACAGCCCACCCCCCCCCCCCCCCCCCCCCCCCGGCCCCCCGCUCCACUCCCCGGGGCAGGCUCAGGCUUCUUGCAAUGCCCCCAUAAUUACACCCUCUGCGUCCCCAGCCAAACAGCAAUUAGCACCCGAGCUGCAGCCCCACACCCCAGCACCCGCCCCGGCCGCCCACACCAACACAGCACCCGGAUGGGCAGUGCCAUGGGGCCGCAGUGGGGCUGCCCACCUUCCCCCCCCCCCCCCCUUCAGAUCCCACCCACAGCCCCACGCAGCCGUGCCAGCCACAGGGAGGGCGGCAGGAGGCAGAAAGGGGAAGAGCACUGCAGCUGCCCCACAUGUCGGGGGGGGGGGGGGGUGUAAUGCUGGGGGGAGGGGGGGGGCCCUCCAGCAACGUUCUCAGAAAGAAGCUGCUGUGCGUUGUGCAAGAGCUCAGCCCCACGGGAGGGCACGCAGAGGGGCAGCAGCCACCCCAUGGCGUCUCCGUGGGCACCUCCGUGUCACUGCAGCUCAGCAGCUGCGUUCCCAGCGCACCGUGAUGCUCCGGGCUGCCAGGACCCGGAGGUGGGCGCAGGACCCCGGAGGUGGGCAUGGGACCCACACCAAGAAGCCCAUGAGGGAGGGAGGGAGCGUGGCACCUGCCUGCCAACCCUGCCCUUUGCUCCCCAUAAAGGAGGGGAACGGCGCCAGCCCCCCCUGGCCCAGGUGUGCCAGGUGCUAAGGGCGGGAGAUAAGGUGGGCGAGGCGGGCAGGGAGGGGCUCACAUGGGCACGCAGCCCUGACUCAGGGUUCCCGUUGGUGGCCGGGCCCCAUUGGGGGUGACUCACCGCGGCCCCCCCACCCUGGGGGUGUUGCAACCAUCCCCGGCGCCAGCGCCGGCCGCAGAGGGGGUGCAGCACCCAGCUGGGGGGGGGGGAGAGGGGGGGAUGGGGGGGUGCACCCUAUGGGGAUCUCUCCGGUGUCCGCUGGGCUGCUGGAGAGCCACGCUGCAUCCUCACCUGGCACCGUUUGGGAUGCACGGAGCCGGGAUGGGACACGGCCCCAAAAGCAUCCCAGCACCGGCACAGCACCGGUCCAUAGGGCAGCGCGGGCACCGAACCACGGCCACCAUUGGGAUCCUGACGGCCCCCAACAGCACCGGGAUGGAGGGUGUGAGGAGCGCCCCACGAAGCGCCCCACUCCUGGAGCUGCUGACCCCGGG